CCAUCCUAAGUCCAGCACUGAGUAUGGCAUCUGGAAUGGCCCAUGGAGGGUGAAAGGCCCGUGGGGGUGGAGAUCAAGUCGGCCAGUUUUGCCCUGAGUAAACCUUGGAGUCGGGUUGUUUGUGAAUGCAGCCCAAAGCGGGUGGUAAACUCCAUCCAAGGCUAAAUACUAGCACGAGUCCGAUAGCGAACAAGUACCGUGAGGGAAAGUUGAAAAGUACUUUGAAGAGAGAGUAAACAGUGCGUGAAACCGCUCAGAGGUAAACGGGUGGAGUUGAACUGUAAGCUCCGGGGAUUCAGCUGGUGAGUGUGUCAUGAGCUUGGUCAUUUUCGGCCGGCCUCUAGAGUCCGCUUAGCUGCGGGUCCUUGCUUCUUCGGGAGUGAGGGUGCGCGUCGCACUUGUCAAGUGCUGUGCGCUCUGGGGGUUGCCGGGCUGGCUCGCCGGUGCACUUUCUCGGAGUGGUCACCACGACCGGCGUUGUUGUCUUGCUGCUGUAGUCGAACCGGUCAGGUUUGGUCCUUGUGGCUGAAUUUGGUCGGGAUGGCAGGUAGCUCAUUGGUUGGCUUGUCCAGUCUUUGGGUGUAAUCAGCUGGCUGCAGUAGUAGUGUGCAAUACGUCGGAGACGGCGGCUCGAGGUAUUUGCUUAUGUGCUGUUGGCUGGCGGUGUCGGGUUUGAUUGGCGUGUUUACCUGCUUCGGCAGGUCCGCUGGUAGCUCGGUGCCGUUCGGUUGGCGGUUGCAUUUGUGAUACCGCUCAUGGGCCCAUAGUCUGUGGUGUAGCAGCAAACGAUCCACCUGACCCGUCUUGAAACACGGACCAAGGAGUUUAACAUGUGCGCGAGUCAUUGGGCGUUACGAAACCCAAAGGCGCAGUGAAAGUAAAGGUUCGGCUUGUCCGAGCUGAGGUGAGAUCCUGUGGCUUCUCGUGCGAGGUACCACCAAGCAAGUGAGUCAUGGGCGCAUCACCAGCCCGUCUCAUGGUGUA
rnacentral:rRNA from 1 species